rnacentral:lncRNA from 1 species
AGAUUUAAUUUUUAGUUAGCUUUCCAUGGUUGCUGCGAGCCUUACAGUAGCUUGAGCUCUCCUUCCUCUUACUCCUCUUUAAUCAGGUUGUUAAGUACUUAGGAAGUGUAUCAUAGUGUACAACAUCCUAGACUUAUUCUUAAAACAAUUUUAUCUAUGGACUUGAGUAAUAAUGUGUUUAUUCUACUGUACCUUUAAAUAUGCAUUACAUUAUAUGUAACGAAUAAAUUAUUUAGAUAGAAAGUUAUUUUCAUGUUGUCUUAUGAAAUCCUAAUGUUUAUUUGAAUGCAGACUAUUUAAGUCACAUUUAAUGUACUAGUCUGAAAAACAUGUUGAAAUCAUAUAUAUAUGAAUUUGAUACUUCUGUCUCUCUUUUUUUCUCUCUCCCUCCUUCCCCCUUCUCUCUUUUGUAAAAUAAUAGUAAUAGUAGUAAUAGUAAUAAUAAUAAUAAUAAUAAUAAUAAUAAUAAUAAUAAUAAUAAUAAUAAUAAGUAAUAUAGCCAAGAACCAGGCUGGGGGAGUCCAGGGUAUUCAGUAGACUGUGGCACCGUGAUGCUUUGAGUUGGAGCCCAAGCAGUUGGAGUCUCACUGGAGAACACAGCAAGCACCUUGGGUGCUAUUUACCAGACUGACUCUUCUGCACUGAUGUGUGUUAGAGACACUGAUGGUGUGUACUUGAAUUCCAGCAUGCAAGAGUUGAGUCAGACUGACUUUAAGUUUGGGUCAGCCUGGACUACAGUCAGACCCUGUCUCAAAAACAAAUGAAAACCAAAACAGAACUCAGAAAGCAAGAACUUUCACUUUAUGAGAGAUUUUUUUUUUUUGGACUUGUUAGAACACUUAUCUGAAAUCAGAAAUAGUUUACUGUGACUUUGGCAUGUUCUUACAAUGUUGGGCCUGAUUUUCUACAGAAUGACUAUUGAGCAAAAUUUUAGGGAAGAGAUUAUGUUGUAGACUCAUGUUUCAUAGAAAUACAAGUUUUUCCUGGUUCAAAAAAUGAAUGUAAUGGUUAAAAUUUAUUACCAUGUUGGACCCUUUUAUAUCUAUUCCAAAUAUUUUAUAAUAUGGCUUUUAAAUGUUUAGCUUUAGAAAUAUUUUAAAAUGGACCUACCACUGUAGUGAUGCUGCAUUUAUUGUUAUGAUAAAAUACUUCACAAUCAUCUAUUUUUCCUAAGAAUCACUUUUAUCUUUUGGAAAAUUUUGCUUUAAUAAACUUCUAACUACUGCUGUAUACUUUUAUAUGUUUGAAAGUUAUUAUUUUAAUUUUGAAAAGUUCACUUAGUCAAACUCUUAGGAUAUAAUAAUAUAAUUUUAUAACUGAAUGGUUUCAUGGAUUUAUUAUUUAUCUAACUCCCACCCUGGAAAUAAACAUUU